CUUUGCUCUAGGUUAGAAGAGAAAACCCAACCAUAGGUUUCUAGUUUUUUCGUAUUAUUUUUCAAGAGAUGGAGCAGGCAUCCUCCAGUGGGUGGAGAAGACGCUGGUGUGGAUGUUGGCGGGUUUGCCAGAAGGUCAAUCACAAUGGCUUGGCCGGAAGAAAAAAUUAAGAAAAGGAGAGGGAGAAGAAUAGUUGCAGCUGAAAACGGCCACUCCAUGAGGCAGAUAGGCUUGUACUGCCAGAGGAACCGAUGCUGGUGCGGAGGUGCCGCUGGAGUCGAUAGUGAUGCCGCUUCGAUGCAUUGUCUCUCCAAUGGGCAGAUUUUGCAGCCACGGAUUCUUGUUAUGGAAGUUCCAGAAUUCUAGGCAACAUCUAUUUUUCCCAUCCCCAGUUUGAUGAACUAAAAUGGAUUGAUUUUAAAUUUUUGAAAGCGUAUUUCCGGGUAAGCAAACAUGCCCUCAAAGAAGAUCAGAAGAAAGGUUUUCGAAAUGGCAAAUGAUGCACCAUCAUUUUAAUACAUUUUGUAUGUAUUCAUCCAUGAACUUAAAGUUUAAAACUCAUGUUUUACAUUGUUUUAGUGUUAAGAGAUGAUGUCUUCAAUUACAUGAUUUUUACGUUUAAAACAAGAGA